CGAAGCUGGAAUCGCUAGUAAUCGCGGAUCAGCACGCCGCGGUGAAUACGUUCCCGGGCCUUGUACACACCGCCCGUCACACCAUGAGAGUCUGUAACACCCAAAGCCGGUGGGAUAACCUUUAUAGGAGUCAGCCGUCUAAGGUAGGACAGAUGAAUUAGGGUGAAGUCGUAACAAGGUAGC
rnacentral:rRNA from 1 species